GAUAAAGUAAACAGCUAUGUUGUUAGGUUUGUAUCCUAAAAAUAAGGGGGUCUUUUUUAUUA
rnacentral:tRNA from 1 species